ACAUCUUCGUACUUUUAUUUGCUUUGUCAAUCGAGUUGUUGGUAGUCAGGAUGCCCGAGCCCGCCAAGUCGGCCCCGGCGCCGAAGAAGGGGUCCAAGAAGGCGGUGACCAAGGCGCAGAAGAAGGACGGCAAGAAGCGCAAGCGCAGCCGCAAGGAGAGCUACUCGGUGUACGUGUACAAGGUGCUGAAGCAGGUGCACCCCGACACGGGCAUCUCGUCCAAGGCCAUGGGCAUCAUGAACUCGUUCGUCAACGACAUCUUCGAGCGCAUCGCGGGCGAGGCGUCCCGCCUGGCGCAUUACAACAAGCGCUCGACCAUCACGUCGCGGGAGAUCCAGACGGCCGUGCGCCUGCUGCUGCCCGGGGAGCUGGCCAAGCACGCCGUGUCCGAGGGCACCAAGGCCGUCACCAAGUACACCAGCUCCAAGUGAGCUUGCCAAGGACUAACAGUCUCAAGUUUACCACCAUCAGUUCUCCCAGGCAGGGACACUUAAGGAAAGCUGAACAAAGAAUGCACCAAGAAAAGAGAUAUGUAGCUCAGUGCUGGAGAAAGGAGAUAAUCGAUGUAAAAAUACUAAAGU